rnacentral:rRNA from 1 species
GAAUCUUGGACAAUGGGGGCAACCCUGAUCCAGCCAUGCCGCGUGAGUGAUGAAGGCCUUCGGGUUGUAAAACUCUUUCGCGCACGACGAUAAUGACGGUAGUGCGAGAAGAAGCUCCGGCUAACUUCGUGCCAGCAGCCGCGGUAAUACGAAGGGGGCUAGCGUUGUUCGGAAUUACUGGGCGUAAAGCGCGCGCAGGCGGCUUUUCAAGUCGGUGGUGAAAUCCCAAAGCUCAACUUUGGAAUUGCCAUCGAAACUGUAAAGCUUGGGUACGGGAGAGGUGAGUGGAAUUCCGAGUGUAGAGGUGAAAUUCGUAGAUAUUCGGAAGAACACCAGUGGCGAAGGCGGCUCACUGGCCCGUUACCGACGCUCAGGCGCGACAGCGUGGGGAGCAAACAGG